ensembl:ncRNA Y113G7A.19 ncRNA
CAUAUGAGACCUUAAAAAAUUUUUUGUUCAAUUUUUGUGAUUUUAUCGAUUUUUUAGAGAAAACUUUGAAGGAAAAGCAUUGUGAGGUGAUGAGCAACACUGUGCAUUUUGAUUGAAAAAGUUUUGAAAUUUCAAAAAAAAAAAAAAAUU